rnacentral:rRNA from 1 species
UACGUAGGGGGCGAGCGUUGUCCGGAAUCAUUGGGCGUAAAGCGCGUGUAGGCGGCCCGGUAAGUCCGCUGUGAAAGUCCAGGGCUCAACCCUGGGAUGCCGGUGGAUACUGUCGGGCUCGAGUCCGGAAGAGGCGAGUGGAAUUCCUGGUGUAGCGGUGAAAUGCGCAGAUAUCAGGAGGAACACCAAUGGCGAAGGCAGCUCGCUGGGACGUGACUGACGCUGAGACGCGAAAGCGUGGGAGCAACAGG